UACAGAGGGGGCAAGCGUUAUUCGGAAUUAUUGGGCGUAAAGGGCGCGUAGGCGGCUUUUCAAGUGACGGGUGAAAUCCCUCGGCUUAACCGAGGAACUGCCUGUCAGACUGGAAGGCUUGAGACCGGGAGAGGUGAGUGGAAUUCCCAGUGUAGCGGUGAAAUGCGUAGAUAUUGGGAGGAACACCAGUGGCGAAGGCGACUACCUGGCCUGUUCUUGACGCUGAGGCGCGAAAGCUAGGGGAGCAAACGGG
rnacentral:rRNA from 1 species